CCUACGGGAGGCAGCAGUGGGGAAUCUUGCACAAUGGAGGAAACUCUGAUGCAGCGAUGCCGCGUGAGUGAAGAAGGCCUUUGGGUUGUAAAGCUCUUUUGUAGGGGAAGAUAAUGACUGUACCCUAAGAAUAAGGUCCGGCUAACUUCGUGCCAGCAGCCGCGGUAAUACGAAGGGACCUAGCGUAGUUCGGAAUUACUGGGCGUAAAGCGCGCGUAGGCCGUUGAGUUAGUUAAUUGUGAAAUCCCAAAGCUUAACUUUGGAACUGCAAUUAAAACUGCUCGACUAGAGUUUGAUAGAGGAAAGCGGAAUACAUAGUGUAGAGGUGAAAUUCGUAGAUAUUAUGUAGAACACCAGUUGCGAAGGCGGCUUUCUGGAUCAACACUGACGCUGAGGCGCGAAAGUAUGGGUAGCAAAGAGGAUUAGAUACCCUCGUAGUCCAUACCAUAAACGAUGAUUGCUAGAUGUUGGAAAUUUAUUUUCAGUAUCGCANCUACNCAUANANAUCGCGUGGAGUACGACGCAGUAACUACAAGAAGUAGAGNGNGAGAGNGCGAGACGACGACGAGGAGAG
rnacentral:rRNA from 1 species